GGCUCGGGAGCUCAGUCGGUAGAGCAGAGGACUGAAAAUCCUCGUGUCGGCGGGUCGAUUCCGUCCCGAGCCACCU
rnacentral:tRNA from 1 species